GACGAACGCUGGCGGCGUGCUUAACACAUGCAAGUCGAACGGAAAGGCCGGUUCGGAGGUACUCGAGUGGCGAACGGGGGAGUAACACGUGGGUGAUCUGCGCUUCACUCUGGGAUAAGCCUGGGAAACUGGGUCUAAUACCGGGUAGGACCGCACUAUAGUGUGUGUGGUGGAAAGUUUUUUCGGUGUAGGAUGGGCCCGCGGCCUAUCAGCUUGUUGGUGGGGUAAUGGCGUACCAAGACGGCGACGGGUAGCAGGACCGGGAGGUUGGUCGGCCCCAGUGGGACUGGGAUUCGGCCACGACCCCGACUGGUGGGAGCGGCGGCGGUGAGUGCACUAGCGGCGUGAGCCUGAUCCUGCCACGCCCCGGCGGGGAUGACGGCCAUCGGGUUGGGAUCGCAUUUCGCCAGGGACGAAGCGGUUUGUGACGGUACCUGGAGAAGAAGCCCCGGCUAACUACGUG
rnacentral:rRNA from 1 species